rnacentral:tRNA from 1 species
GCAGGUGUAGUUUAUUAAAAAUGUCGGAUUGUGAUUCCGAAGAAAGGGGUUGAACCCCCCUCCCCCGCC